rnacentral:rRNA from 1 species
UACGAAGGGGGCUAGCGUUGUUCGGAAUUACUGGGCGUAAAGCGCACGUAGGCGGAUCGAUCAGUCAGGGGUGAAAUCCCAGAGCUCAACUCUGGAACUGCCUUUGAUACUGUCGAUCUAGAGUAUGGAAGAGGUGAGUGGAAUUCCGAGUGUAGAGGUGAAAUUCGUAGAUAUUCGGAGGAACACCAGUGGCGAAGGCGGCUCACUGGUCCAUUACUGACGCUGAGGUGCGAAAGCGUGGGGAGCAAACAGGAUUAGAAACCCCCGUAGUCC